UACGAAGGGAGCUAGCGUUGUUCGGAAUCACUGGGCGUAAAGCGCGCGUAGGCGGACUAUUAAGUCAGGGGUGAAAUCCCGGGGCUCAACCCCGGAACUGCCUUUGAUACUGGUAGUCUCGAGUCCGGAAGAGGUGAGUGGAAUUCCGAGUGUAGAGGUGAAAAUUCGUAGAUAUCAAGAGGAACACCUGCGGCGAAGGCGGGUUGCUGGGCCGACACUGACGCUGAGGCGCGAAAGCUAGGGGGAGCGAACGGG
rnacentral:rRNA from 1 species